CGCGGCCUAUCAGCUUGUUGGUGGGGUAAUGGCCUACCAAGGCUUUGACGGGUAGCCGGCCUGAGAGGGUGACCGGCCACACUGGGACUGAGACACGGCCCAGACUCCUACGGGAGGCGGCAGUGGGGAAUAUUGGACAAUGGGCGGAAGCCUGAUCCAGCAACGCCGCGUGAGGGAUGACGGCCUUCGGGUUGUAAACCUCUUUCACCAUUGACGAAGCUGCAUCUUUUUGGGUGUGGUGACGGUAGGUGGGGAAGAAGCACCGGCCAACUACGUGCCAGCAGCCGCGGUAAUACGUAGGGUGCGAGCGUUGUCCGGAAUUAUUGGGCGUAAAGGGCUCGUAGGCGGUUUGUCGCGUCGGGAGUGAAAACCUUGGGCUUAACUCAGGGCUUGCUUUCGAUACGGGCAGACUAGAGGUAUGCAGGGGAGAACGGAAUUCCUGGUGUAGCGGUGAAAUGCGCAGAUAUCAGGAGGAACACCGGUGGCGAAGGCGGUUCUCUGGGCAUGAUCUGACGCUGAGGAGCGAAAGUGUGGGGAGCGAACAGGAUUAGAUACCCUGGUAGUCCACACCGUAAACGUUGGGCGCUAGGUGUGGGAUCCAUUCCACGGGUUCCGUGCCGCAGCUAACGCGUUAAGCGCCCCGCCUGGGGAGUACGG
rnacentral:rRNA from 1 species